UUGAAAUAUGAAAAUAUCAGUCUGUCGGUCAGCCCUCUAGUUGCUCUAUUUGCUCGUUCCAAAGUGUAGAUUCCUAUGGAGAAGAACGAGCAAGAAACUCCAUAGGUUACUCUUUUCCAAUCAGAUUCACAAUACAAUUCAUGGUUACAUUGUUUCGUUUAAUUACGUAUUUUUUAUGCAUUUAACUAUAAACUCUUUAUACGUUUACAUAUCAGUGUUGGGAGUCAGACAAAAAUGGGUAGCUAAGUCAGAAGUUUCAUUUAUAGAUUUACAACUUUAUUAUUACGAAAAGAUAAGGUCGACAAUCGAUUAAAGAAAUUCACAUCUUAGCUACUGAAUUUUUACCUGUACUUCCAGACCUGGGGGCCUACUCCGGUUCUCGAAUGCCAAGUUUCGUUUAAUCUUCGGCCGUAGCUUUUAUUGAUUUACUAAUAGAAUUACUUGAAAUAACGUUUUAUUAUUAAUUUCAUAUCAAAACCUAUUUAUUUAUCUUCAUUUUAUUCAUUCAUAUUUGUUCACGAAAGUUCGCAAUAAAUAGGAUUGUAGUAUGCAAUCUGCUAAGUUUCGGAGGAAAUUUCGUUUUUCGUUGAAUUAGAGUAGGCCCCUUGACGUAAGUUUUUUAUAAACAUUUAUUUGUAAUGUACAGUACAGUGGGUUAACCUGUUCUUUUCUGUCAAUUGACUGAAUUUAUUUAAUGAACUAUGUACCUACUGCCUCUUUGACCGAGUGGUCGCAAGUGCGACUCGACAAGGGGUAUUGGGUUCGAACUCCGGGCCGGGCAAAAUAUUACUGGGCUUUUUUCGGUUUUUCGAAAAUUUCUCAGUAGUAGCACGGAGCCUGGAAUUGUGCCCAGUAUAUGGCAAUAGACGCACCCCCUAUUACAUGGGACUAAUAAUACAAAUGGUGAAAAGCGGAUGUACAUUGUAUAGCGGCAUUACGUGCCGUAAUGUGCACUACUGCUUACGGUUUCAGGGAUAAAGGCGUGGCGUUACAUGUUUUGAAUAUAAAUUCGUAAAUAAUAGAUUGGAGUAGGUUGAUCGAUUGGUCACUGUUCAUGGUCAACUUAUAUUAUUUGAUAAUGAAGUGGCUCAUUGUUCUAACAGCGCCUAAGUAAGUAGUGAUUAAUUGUCACAAAAUGGCGUAUUUUAUAUUAAGUUUGUGUCAGCCAAUCCCUUUAGGGACUAACUGCCGCACUCAGACACAUUUAAUGAUUACCUACUUGGACUAUUCGUUAGUUAUGAUUUUGUGUCCAAAGCAAUUGCUAAGGACUGGGUUAAGUAACCAUUAAAUGAUUCUGAGUACGGCGUUAAUUGGCAUGAUAAUUAUUAUGUUAUGAUAUACACUUUUAUCGAAAUUCUACUAUUUAGUACAGAUCGCAAUAAGUUGUCCUAUGGCUUUUCUAGAGUAUGUCAUAUUUAAUGCUUGGCUACACACGUACUUGCUAAUUCACAUGUAAACAGCAGCUCAUGUAAAGAGAUUGUCCAGUCAACUGAUGGUAGCGGUGACUGUCCAGACGACACACGUACUUAGGUAUCGUCAUGAGCUAAUGUUCACAUGUAAACAGCAGCUCAUGUAAAGAGAUUGUCCAGUCAACUGAUGGUAGCGGUGACUGUCCAGCUGAUAUACGUACUCAGAAAAGCUAAAGACAAAUUAUUGUGAUCUGCGAUAAAAGUUCAAUAUUUUCAUGUUAUGCAAAUAUGCAAACUGUGUGUAUGUUAUUUUUUUAUUAUAGUUAUCGUGAGACAUAUUAAAUUAAUUAUGUUUUAUGGCUUACGUCAUAUUUAAUACUUACUGAAUGGGUUGUGCGAUGCUCGCCUCUGUAACGGUCCCUGAUCUGGCUUGAAACUAGUCGAGCUACUUCAAGAUUUUACGUGUGUAAGCCGUACAACGUACUUAAUAAAAGUUUUACGUACGUAAACUCAUGUUUCGCUGAUUAUCUUAUCUUAUUAAUAUUAUAAAUGCGAAAGUUUGUGAGUUUGUAUGUAUGUAUGUUUGUUACUCAAUCACAUCAAAAUGGCUGAAAGAAUCGGGAUGAAAUUUGGAACAGGGGUAAAUAAUGGUCUGGAAUAACACAUAGGCCGUUUUUAACCUACGGGAACGUGAUCGAAGCCGCGUGCAAAGCUAGUUUUAUUAUAUUUGAAUCUACAAUUGUAUGUGCUAUUAUUUUAGUUGUUAAGCAAAUUGUUUUACAAAGGUAUUUUAUAAGAAAUGAAAUUUUUAUACAACUUAUAAUUACACAUAUUUUUAAUUUA